UACGUAGGGGGCAAGCGUUGUCCGGAAUCAUUGGGCGUAAAGAGCGUGUAGGCGGCCUUCUAAGUCGAACGUGAAAUCCCCGGGCUCAACCCGGGAACUGCGUCCGAUACUGGAAGGCUUGAAUCCGGGAGAGGGAUGCGGAAUUCCAGGUGUAGCGGUGAAAUGCGUAGAUAUCUGGAGGAACACCGGUGGCGAAGGCGGCAGCCUGGACCGGCAUUGACGCUGAGGCGCGAAAGCCAGGGGAGCAAACGGG
rnacentral:rRNA from 1 species